rnacentral:rRNA from 1 species
GAACUGUGAGACAGGUGCUGCAUGGCUGUCGUCAGCUCGUGUUGUGAAAUGUUGGGUUAAGUCCCGCAACGAGCGCAACCCUUAUCCUUUGUUGCCAGCACGUAAUGGUGGGAACUCAAAGGAGACUGCCGGUGAUAAACCGGAGGAAGGUGGGGAUGACGUCAAGUCAUCAUGGCCCUUACGAGUAGGGCUACACACGUGCUACAAUGGCGUAUACAAAGAGAAGCGAACUCGCGAGAGCCAGCGGACCUCAUAAAGUACGUCGUAGUCCGGAUCGGAGUCUGCAACUCGACUCCGUGAAGUCGGAAUCGCUAGUAAUCGUAGAUCAGAAUGCUACGGUGAAUACGUUCCC